UGCGAAAUAAUUGGGUAUCUAAGCCUCGGGAAGCAUCGGUAUUCACGCUAAAAGGUGCGAUGGAUAAAAGCAGCUUGACUAGUCGACUUUUGUGGCCUUUGUUACUUGAAUAAGUAAGCCCUUAGGGGUGUCUCUACACCUAGCGCCCUAAGAUCAUCUGGUUUGGGAGUCGUUGGUGGAAAGUUCGCUAAUGGGUAACUCUGAAAAGCCUAAGAAAAGGAGACAUUGCACAUGUCAAGAAAAAAAAAAAGAAAAGAAAUAGAAAAAAAAAGAAGAAGCAUGAAAAUACAUUCAUCUGUGCUAAAAAGAAGGUUCUAUGAAAAAAUUAAAAAGCGAGAAAAAUUUGUUCUUGGUUAUGAGUCAGUGUGCACGGUUUUUGCUCCAUGGUAACUAAGUUGAGUAAGUAUGAUGAUUUUGGGAAAGUUACUUAUGUGGCUACAAUUUGAUUUAAUGAAAUUCAUUGGUGAAAUGGUAAAGUUGGUAAUUGUGAGUUAAUUGAUAAGGCGUUG
rnacentral:lncRNA from 1 species